rnacentral:rRNA from 1 species
UGAGGAAUAUUGGUCAAUGGACGAAAGUCUGAACCAGCCAUGCCGCGUGCAGGAUGACGGCCCUACGGGUUGUAAACUGCUUUUAUAUAGGAAGAAACCCUUCUACGUGUAGAGGGCUGACGGUACUAUAAGAAUAAGGACCGGCUAACUCCGUGCCAGCAGCCGCGGUAAUACGGAGGGUCCAAGCGUUAUCCGGAUUCAUUGGGUUUAAAGGGUCCGUAGGCGGGAAAUUAAGUCAGUGGUGAAAGCCUAUCGCUUAACGAUAGAACUGCCAUUGAUACUGAUUUUCUUGAGUAUAGAUGAAGUGGGCGGAAUGUGUCAUGUAGCGGUGAAAUGCAUAGAUAUGACACAGAACACCGAUUGCGAAGGCAGCUCACUAAACUAUUACUGACGCUGAGGGACGAAAGCGUGGGGAGCGAACAGG